GUUAUGACAGGUCAUGAUGCCCUCAGUCAGCAUGGCCUCAAGGUUGAGGAAACCACCAUGGGCCGGUCGGACUUUAGAGAAGGUGGGUGAGAUGGGAAUUUAACUAUCAAAGCCCCUUCUGACCGCUCCCCAUUGGGCUCCUCUCAGAUCCACCUUCCCGGCCAGUGCUGAGCGUAGAUCCCCCAUCGGGAGUGGUGAGCGAAGGGCUCACGCUGCUCAUCAGCUGCAUAGCCCCCAGUGAUGCCAGCGAUCGGAGGUUCCACUUCUACAAGGAUGGAGACGAGCUCGUUCCUGGGGACGCUGGGUCUGAGAUCAGCACCACAGAGCCCAGCACCGGCUCUAUGAACGUCUCUGUGCUCAGCAUCCCACGGGCCGGUCCCAACAACACCGGGGAAUUCACCUGCGGGUACGAGGAGAACGUGAGGGGGAGGUGGAUCCCGUCCCCCAGGAGCCAUGCUGUGACCGUGAACAUCACAGCGACAGCCUGGGCCCAAUCUAGAAACUUGCUGCCGGCAUGUGGGAUCCUCAUGGUUCCGGGCAUGGCUCUGGCUGCCCUCGUGUGCUACUGCAGGAGGAACAAGAGAGUUCCGGAGCCUUCGCAAUAUCUGAGGGGAUCUGAGCCCGGGGAAGGCGAUGGGGAACUGGACUCCAGGAGGUGCCAUGAGGAAUUGAAAUCCAGCAGUGUCAGAGUGGACCUACCAGAAGAGGGCUCUGAUGUGUACACACUCCUGACCUUCCCCUCCUCUGCAACGCCCUGAGCACCGGGGAUGGCGACUAGAGCAUUGGGAACAGAGGGGGUACUGCACUGCGAGGGGCUGCCCCGGCACAUCCAGGGAGCCACUCGGUGAGAGGCACGGAGGGAACAUGGAAAUCCAAAUCAGGGGCCCUUUAACAUUCAGGGCUCAGACACCCCAGCCUGGCCGCCUCUCCCUGUGGCCGAUCAUCCAACUGCCCUCAUACACACACGGACAGGGUCCCAUCUCCUCCAGCAGGGGGCAGCAGGGACACACACACACACACACACAGAAGGUCCCAUCUCCUCCAGCAGGGGGAAGAAUUGACACACACACAUGCACACGGAGAAGGUCCCAUCCCCUCUAGAAGGGGGUGAGAGGAACAUACACACACGCACACAAACACACACAUGCACACACAGAGUUCCUACCAUUCUUAACCUUUAUCACUGUCUCUUGCUUUUGUUGCAUUUGCUGUUCCAUUAACAUUCAUUCUCCAAGGACAGAGAAUAAACUCAAUUUCAAUUAGAAAGGCGUGACUGUU
rnacentral:lncRNA from 1 species